rnacentral:rRNA from 1 species
UAACUGAAGAGUUUGAUCAUGGCUCAGAUUGAACGCUGGCGGCAGGCUUAACACAUGCAAGUCGAGCGGGGGAAGGUAGCUUGCUACUGGACCUAGCGGCGGACGGGUGAGUAAUGCUUAGGAAUCUGCCUAUUAGUGGGGGACAACAUCUCGAAAGGGAUGCUAAUACCGCAUACGUCCUACGGGAGAAAGCAGGGGAUCUUCGGACCUUGCGCUAAUAGAUGAGCCUAAGUCGGAUUAGCUAGUUGGUGGGGUAAAGGCCUACCAAGGCGACGAUCUGUAGCGGGUCUGAGAGGAUGAUCCGCCACACUGGGACUGAGACACGGCCCAGACUCCUACGGGAGGCAGCAGUGGGGAAUAUUGGACAAUGGGGGGAACCCUGAUCCAGCCAUGCCGCGUGUGUGAAGAAGGCCUUAUGGUUGUAAAGCACUUUAAGCGAGGAGGAGGCUACUUUAGUUAAUACCUAGAGAUAGUGGACGUUACUCGCAGAAUAAGCACCGGCUAACUCUGUGCCAGCAGCCGCGGUAAUACAGAGGGUGCGAGCGUUAAUCGGAUUUACUGGGCGUAAAGCGUGCGUAGGCGGCUUAUUAAGUCGGAUGUGAAAUCCCCGAGCUUAACUUGGGAAUUGCAUUCGAUACUGGUGAGCUAGAGUAUGGGAGAGGAUGGUAGAAUUCCAGGUGUAGCGGUGAAAUGCGUAGAGAUCUGGAGGAAUACCGAUGGCGAAGGCAGCCAUCUGGCCUAAUACUGACGCUGAGGUACGAAAGCAUGGGGAGCAAACAGGAUUAGAUACCCUGGUAGUCCAUGCCGUAAACGAUGUCUACUAGCCGUUGGGGCCUUUGAGGCUUUAGUGGCGCAGCUAACGCGAUAAGUAGACCGCCUGGGGAGUACGGUCGCAAGACUAAAACUCAAAUGAAUUGACGGGGGCCCGCACAAGCGGUGGAGCAUGUGGUUUAAUUCGAUGCAACGCGAAGAACCUUACCUGGCCUUGACAUACUAGAAACUUUCCAGAGAUGGAUUGGUGCCUUCGGGAAUCUAGAUACAGGUGCUGCAUGGCUGUCGUCAGCUCGUGUCGUGAGAUGUUGGGUUAAGUCCCGCAACGAGCGCAACCCUUUUCCUUACUUGCCAGC